GUCUGAAAAUGCGAAAACCGUAGUCAAACCGUCAAUCACUCAUCGUAUUCCCUGUGCCCGCCGGCCACGCCGACGCCGCCCGCUGCCCGCGACGACCGCCGCGCCACGCGCCGAACGCCGAACGCCGGCCGCGACGGCCGCCGCCCUGCCCUGGCUGCGCCCCACUUUGCCCGACGCGAGUUUCCCCGCCUCCCAUGCCGCCGCCGUUAUCCUGGUAUACGACUCGACGAUGGGGUGUUCCGUGACGACAUCGACCUGGAUGGACUGUCGGGCCGCCGCCGCCGGCCUUCUUCACUCAAGGACUACAUGCCACGACGCCUGCACCGCCGCCGCCGUCGUCGCCACCGAACUCGGCUUCCAUAGGGAGGCGGUGUUUGAACAUUUCAGAACCUUCAAGUAAAAAAGCAUUGCGGAGAAAGAUGGAUUGGUGCUUGGCUGAUUCGAAAAACUGAGCCAUACAGCCCCUCCGUUGGGGGUCACGAGUGGUAAUCUCCGCAUCGGUUUUCAGAAUGGAUACAAGUUCAUUGCGGUCAUGCUUGUCAAACUCUCACAUGAUAAUCAGAUACUGUUGCGGUAUCCUGGUGCUGAAGUUAUAUUAGUUGACCCUACACAACAUGGAUUCAAAUUGUUACUUCAUAUGGUAGAAACGCUGAGGAAGGUUCUGCCAAAUAUGUAUGUUGUAGAUCACUGCACCAAUUCUGGAAAUCCUGAUGCGCGCUUCAGAUAUCUCUACUCUUGCCGAUACAUGAAUAACAAAUGAACCUUGGCAGUAAUGUAUUAAACUAAAUAUGUCCUUAGCGCCUUAGUUAGAUAUUAAAAGAUACAGCCUUAUAUAUGUUUUUCAGGAGGCACCAUCAUAGGAAAUGUGAUCAUGUUUCCGAUUUGAACUAAUUUCAGCGCUUCAUUGUAAUUUACACCCAUUUGGUAUUCUUACCAUCUUCAGUUCAUAAACAUUUCUUUUCCA